rnacentral:lncRNA from 1 species
AUGUAUGUGUGUGUUUGUGUGUGCUUGCGUGUGUGUGUUUGUGUGUGUGUGCUUGCGUGUGUGUGUGUGUGUGUGUGUGUGUGUGCUUGCGUGUGUGUGUGUGUGUGUGUGUGUGCUUGCGUGUGUGUGUGUGUGUGUGUGUGUGUGUGUGCUUGCGUGUGUGUGUGUGUGCGUGCACAUGUAUGUGUGUGUGUGUGCGUGUACGUGUGUGUGUCUGCAUGUGUGUGCGCGUGUAAGUGUGUGUCAGCUUCUUCUACUCUGACCUCUAACUGGGACCGAGUCUGUGCUUUGUUUAUUACAGUUCACCAGAGUUUUCUCCCACCUCCUCAUUUGCAUUUCACCUCCUCCUGUAUCCGGCUCAUUAAUCCGGCGCUGAUGUUGUUUUCAUCCAGGCUCAGGUGUCUGAGCGGAGCCUGCGUCCUGCAGAGCAGCGCCCCCAUGAUGUCGUUGCCUCCCACGUCGCUGAUGUCGUUGCCGUCCAGGUCCAGCUCCCGCAGCCCCGCGUUCUCCCUCAGGACGUCCGCCAGCAGCCUGACGCCCGGGUCGCCCAGCCGGUUCUGGUCCAGGAUGACGUGGGCCAGCGAGGCGCUGCCCCGCAUGCUGUGGAACAGCUCCCUCCACGCCGCCAGGUCGGCGCCGCUGCUCUGGGCCAGGCCCAGGUACUGGAGCUGCGAGUGGUGGCGCAUGAACCAGGCCAGCGCCCUCACGCCCUCGCUGCCCAGGCCGUUGCCCCCGACGUCCAGCUCCAGCAGCGUGAAGGCCCUGAGGGGGCUCCACCCGGGGGGCGGCUGCAGGACGGCGCCGAGCUCCGCGUGGAGCUGGACGGCGGCGGCGGCGGCGGCUCUCGCCGUUUGCUCCUGCAGCUCCGCGACUCCCAUCAACAGCGCCAGCGCUCCAUGGUCGCGCAGUCUGUUCCCGAACAGGCUGAAACGAGAGGGAAAAGGCUGGUUGCCGUGGCGACCGGGAAGCGGCGCUGCCUCGUGGUGGCGUGAGCGGGCCUUACUGCAGGCCCUUGACCCCAGGCUUGGCCCUCAGCACGUCCAGCAGGAUGUGGGCCCCGUACGGGCCGAUGAGGUUGAGGUUGAGGUUGAGCAGCGUCACCUCGGACCGGCUGCUCUUCAGAGCUCCUGCCAGACUCAGCAGGUGGUCGUCGGUCAGGUCCGUGUUCCUCAGGACCAGCUGGCCCACCUCAGCCGAUGA